CGGGUCCGCCAGUGGCCAAACGACCUGCCUGCAUUCAGCUCCAGGAUCCGGUGCAUGAAAAGUGAGAAAGACCCUACCGGCCUCGCCUCCUGGAAGCAAACCCCUGGGCUCUGUCUGACCUGACCAGCCUUUCCGAAGUUCCGGCGCAAACCCGCGGGCGGAAACUAAACGCUCUCUGCCAGGCGGUUCGCUCAGCCCGGCCCACUACGUCACACCCCGCAGGCCCUCUCAAGCCUUCUUGAUUGAUGGAGAACGAGCACAAGCGCUCCCGCCCCCUCCCCCGCGGGCCCUCCGGCGGCACUGCCCCGCCCACUGGCUGUCUGGGCCGAGUUUGGCCUGCAAGUUGGGGCGCUCUAGGGCUCAGACUCUGAGGCUGAGGGGGUGCUUUCCCGUCACGCCCAGGCGCAAGCCGUCGCCCCAAGUCUGACAGUGGCCAGCUUCCCUGCACACCCAGUUCUUGUCCAAUGCAGCCGACACAGGCCCCUUCCGCCCCUCAGCCCUCGAAAGGCCCCCAAGCCGCAAGCACCCCCGGAAAUGCCUCUUGCCCGGGCUCCCCUCGGUGUCGACAACCCACAAGCCAGGAGCCGGUCCUCGAGGACACGCAGACUCUGGGCCCGAACGCUGACGGGGCCUCCAUUGAUCCUGGUGUGCAGACCCCCGCGGGCCGGCCCGCCAAGUCCUACCGAGCCUUCCUGGGGCCGGGCCAGGACCGUUCCGGACCUCGCCGCGGGUCGCCUGGGUGUGAGGCUCACGCACGUGGCUCCCCCGUCCCGCGCCAGGACGCCCCUCACUCGCCACCCCCAGGCGUUCCCGCACGUGCGCCACCGACAGCAGCCUCCUCAGACCCCCACGGUCCUGCUUCUGGACCCCACCAGGGCCCCUGCGCCGCACUGAACGCCGCCCCACGGCCCUCGGCCCACCCACCGGCCCCGACCCUCGACCCUCUCACCGCCAGCCCUCAGCACCUCUCCAUAGCCUUAGCACUUUGCAUAUUCAAGGACGCUGCUUGCAUCAGUGCUCUCCACUCCAGUGUUCCCUGAAUCAUCCCUUGCCCCAUCAAGAAGCUGUGUGUUCAAUAAAUAGUGGCAAGCUCCAGGAGACAGCAUCUUAGCCUGAUAAGAGCUUUGACUGUCCUGGGCCCCCCAUUUAUGCGUUAAGAUCUUGUCUUGUCUUUUGUUAUCCUACCGCCCUAUCUUUGGUCAGGUGAUUGAAGCUCUGAUCAGCCUCCAAUACGGCUAUCAUGAACACAUUUUUGCUAUGUGCCUUUUGGUGCCCGUGUGCAGCAAUUUUUCUCUGAGUAUUUUCUUUUUCUAAGGAAAGGACAUUUCUAGCUCUCCUAGAAACUACUAUUUUGAGUGGCUGGGCUAAUUUAUUCUUCCACUAGCAAAGCAAGAAUUCUUGCUUCUCCACCACCACCUGAUGUUUUGAAUUCCUUUGAAAUAUUUUGCCAAUAUUAUGGUAAAUCUUAAGGUGUCUUGAAUGGAAUUUCUUUUGUUUCAUUUUGCAUUUCCUCAGAGAUAAGUGAAGUUGAGUAUUCCACUGUUGAUCCACAAGUUUUCUUUCUAGGAGAUGAAGGUGUCUAACUUUCUAACAAACUGCCUUUGUCUCAUUAUUUGUGAGAAUUCUUCAUGCCUUCUUGGGACUUGGAUGUUUGUUUGUUGCUUAUUUUUUGUAGCACCAAGAAUGAAACCCAGGGCCUUGUACAUGCUAGAAAAGUGUGCUACCAUAAAUUGAUAGCCCCAGCAUUUAAGAUCUUCUGAUUCUAACUCUAGUUUACUGUAGGUAUUGCAAGUCUAUCUCCCAAUUGUCUGCUAUGUCAAGUUUGUCUACCAUGCAUUCUCUGGUACUAAGUAUUUAGGGCUGGGCCCUAUCUCUGUGGUAUAGCACUCACCUAGUAUGCAUGAGGACUUGGGUUUGAUCCCCAGCACCAAAUGUGUUUGUGCGUAUGUGCAUGUGUAUGCACACAUGCACACACACACAGAGUACUAGAUACUUCAAUUUGUCCUCAGUCAAAUCUAUUACUUUUUAAUUACCAAUUUAUUAAUUCUCAGGUAGUAAAACUUUGUUUUAAUAAGAUAAUUAAUCUUUUUAGAGAAUCAUUACUCUAUCUGCUUGGUUUAUCUGCUUGGUUGAUUUAUAU
rnacentral:lncRNA from 1 species